AUGAACGCUGGCGGCGUGCCUCAUACAUGCAAGUCGAGCGAACGGGCGAGAAGCUUGCUUCUCUGAUGUUAGCGGCGGACGGGUGAGUAACACGUGGAUAACCUACCUAUAAGACUGGGAUAACUUCGGGAAACCGGAGCUAAUACCGGAUGAUAUUUUGAACCGCAUGGUUCAAAAGUGAAAGACGGUCUUGCUGUCACUUAUAGAUGGAUCCGCGCUGCAUUAGCUAGUUGGUAAGGUAACGGCUUACCAAGGCAACGAUGCAUAGCCGACCUGAGAGGUUGAUCGGCCACACUGGAACUGAGACACGGUCCAGACUCCUACGGGAGGCAGCAGUAGGGAAUCUUCCGCAAUGGGCGAAAGCCUGACGGAGCAACGCCGCGUGAGUGAUGAAGGUCUUCGGAUCGUAAAACUCUGUUAUUAGGGAAGAACAUAUGUGUAAGUAACUGUGCACAUCUUGACGGUACCUAAUCAGAAAGCCACGGCUAACUACGUG
rnacentral:rRNA from 1 species